ensembl:lncRNA
CUUUUCUUCCGGCCCCUGCGGGACAGAGGAGAUGCCAGCCUCAUGGCGGCUGGAGGGGUGGACAGAGCCGGUACACUGGGGAGCGGAGAAACUGAGGUGGAUGUCUCGGGGGAGGCCUCAUGUGUGGCUGGGGUGGAUGGCUGGACAGAGGCCUCGGGUGUUGGGGUGGAUGGCUGGACAGAGGCCUCGGGUGAAGAGGUGGAUGGCUGGACAGAGGCCUCGGGUGUUGGGGUGGAUAACGAAGGUCCUUUCUUCGUGGCUACGUUGCAAGGUGAGGGCUGUUCAUGAUAAUAAAAGAACAGAAAGUCUGUUAGCAAUAUGAAAAUGGCAUAUGACUACAAUGGUGAAAGUAACAUAACUGUAUUCAUUACAUCAACAAUGUAUACACUUUAAAGUGGCAUUAUGUAGCAAUUGUCCUUCAGGAUUAGGGUUAGUAUAAGCAGUUUUCUCUUAAAAUAACAGCUUUAAAAAAAUUGGGGCGCUACAAUGACUUAAUAUGGAGAAUCGCCUCCGUGCCAUUGCCAUACCAGGGUCCGUAGGCAAAUGACUGGUUUAUGUAAGUUUGCCUGAAGCCGCCCGGUUUUUACUGUCUGCCAAACUAGUAAGUAGCUUAUUUGUCGUCUUGCUCUGUCUUGUGUUGCACUUGCUUGAUGUUUGACUGUGUUAGGACAGUUGUUGACUAACUAGUUUGUCAUAAUGUCAAAGUCAGCACAUUUUAAGAGAUUUCGUUAGUUUUUGCCGCUAGCAUAUCGUUAGCGAUUAGCAAUUGUUCCGUUAUGCUACUUUAGGAACAGACAGUUGGUCUUUGUCCUUGCAUUUUAAGUCUAUGACCAGAAGUCUUGGUUAUGGAAUGGAUUACUAACGAAAAUGACGAGAUAGAAAACAUAUAGGCAAUAC